AUUUAAUAAUGACGUCUUCUACCUCGCGCGCGAGCGAGUGUCUUCCCUGUGCCUCCUGACUGCUUCCCCGUUGAGAUCGCAUUCCAGAUUGACUUGUAUCUAUCGAGCCGAUACUCCGAGUGAGUGAGUGAAUGAGUGAGUGAAAGAGAGAGAGAGAGGGGGAGAGAGAGAGAAAGAGAGAGAGAGAGAAUGACGGCGUCGAUGGAGGGCGAUGACGACGAUGAGGUGACAAGAACGACGAAGACGACAACGACGAGGAUGAUGAUGGGGAUGAGAUCGAAACACAAUGUCUGCGACGACGAUGAAGGCAAUGACGACAACGAUGACGAUAAUGAAGAGACAAUGAUGACGACAACGCUAACAAAAAAAUUAUGAUGACAAAAAAAUACGACAAAGGAAAAUUGCAGAUCGAAACACGAUGUCUGCAAUGAUGACGAUGAGGCAAUGACGACGACAACAUCAACGAAAUAAUCGAUCGAAUCAUAAUGUCUGCGAUUACGACGAUGAGGUAAUGAUGACGAUGAAGUAAUGACGACGAUGAAAGAGUGACGACAACAAUGGCGACGAGAUAAUCGACCUGGUGGUGCUUGUGAACACCGCAACACCAGGGUGCGAUGGAUGCGGAUGCUGUACCGGGGGAUCCGGUUCGGGCCGAGCAGGCUCGAUUCAAAGAUCAAUAGCAGAACGUGGCCGAUGCUGAAUUCCUGAUUUCUUGAUUGUGGCUAUAUAGUGGAUGUGUGCGAAUGCUGUAUCGGAGGAUCCGAUUCGGGCCGAGCAGGAUCGAUUCGAAGAUCUGUUAGAAUCUGUUAGAUCUGCGGAACAUGACCGAUCCUGAUCUUCUGAUUGCCAUCAGCCGGUAUGUGAAGCGAAGUGCAACUAGCCUAGGACGACAUCUGGAUGCUACGAAGACUGGUUGCUGUUGAUGACCUGGACCUGGAUCAGAACGACUGAACGUCGCAAUGGUGAGCGCCCAAUCAGAACGCUCACAAAGCGUUAUCAUCCUACGUAGUGCAUGUAUUGUUUAGAUGUAAAUCGCAUUGAUUACCUAUGAGAAAAGUCACAACACGAAGAGUGACAUUUUUUAAGGAAUGCUAGGAUUUAGAAAUUUAACUUUUCGAUUCCCAUGUUAAUCUCGCAAAUAAGUUUCCAAAAAGGAAUGAC